CUCUUGGAUGAAUGCUGCCUAGUUUUGUGGCUAAGAUCGCGCAUAAGAGGCGCGGGCUGCGCCUUGACUUUGUAUGAUCCACAACUCCAGAUCUAAUUGUGGGAAAACAUCAAUGGACUCCAAAUUGACAAUCAUUCUAAAAAGGAUUGAACUCGGGACCUUGUGCUUUCGAGACAGGUGGUGGAACUACUGAGCUAAAUCCCUGGCCCCAGUAGUCCUUCUUUGGGAUGGCCAUGCUCAACCCUGAAGAGUAUGAAGGAAGCUUCAAGCUCAACAAACAGAAGAAACACCUGGAAUCUCCAGGAGGGAGAGGCAGUGGCUGAAGGUUUUGUUUGAGGUAGUAAAUAGGACAUCCUGUCUACAGAGGAACUAUCCAUUCAUGAGUGAAUCGGAUUUCCAAUUGUAUAUUGAAUACAGCAGAAAAUGGCAGUGCCAUCUUGUUCCUCUGUGGCUUGAGAUCUCCUAACCCAGGGAUGAGCUGGAGGAGUACUUUAUAUAUACACACAAAAGUGCUUCCCCCAAGUCUCUCUGCCCUCAGGCAGUGGAAUGGCUCCCUGCAUAGCAAAGGCAGAUCUGGUGUAGGUGCCAUUUCUGGAGGAAAAGGGAAAGACCUGUUACUUUUUCCCCAAAUCAGACCAGCACCAUGAGUGAUCCUGAACUUUAGUUCAUCAGGCUUAAAGAAUAUUUGGGUGCCCUGUAGUUACAAUAGCACAUUGGGGGCUGAAGGUGUAGUUCAGUGGAAGAGCACUUGCCUAGCAUGUGUACCAUGUGUGAAGCCCUGGGUUCAACCCCUAGCACUAUAAAAAUAAAAAGUAUAUUUUAAACCAGGUCUGGUGGUGCACACCUGUAAUCCCAGCACUCAGGAGGCAGGAGGAUUGUCAUGUGUUCAAGGCCAGCCAUAACUACACAGUGAGACCACGUUUCAUAAAAAAAAGAGGUGGCUCUGUCAUGCAAUGGAUACCACACUGAAAACCAAAAAUGAAAACUAAAGGUGUAUUUCAAAACUGCUGAAAUUUCAAGUGUUCUCACCAUAAAAAAUGAUAAGCAUCUGAGGCAAUGAAAAUGUUAAUUGGUUUCAUUUAAUCAUUCUACAUUGUAUACAUAGAUCAUAUCAUAUACUCCAUAAAUGUGUACAAUUUGUG
rnacentral:lncRNA from 1 species